rnacentral:misc_RNA from 1 species
CUACUACCACGCACAUUCCUAAGCCUACAGAUUUUGCAGUUCAUACGCACUUUCAAGGCACAAAUUCCUGUAAGAAACCCAGCAAAUCCAGGGAGGAGAUCUGUGGGAGGACUAUAUUAUCUUUCCUAUCUGGAUAGCAAUAUGCUUUUAGGGCGUGCUGUUGGAGGUGGUGGAGUAUUUGUUUUUACUAAAGCUCAGCCUCUGGACUUAUGAGAAACAAACUUGUCAGAUCUUAUACCUACAGUACCUUGUUUUACCCAGGAUCUAGAAACCAAAAAAUUGAUUUGAAAGUGGCAAGAAGGAAAGUGCGGUGUUUAAACUCGAGCUCAAAAGCAUCGACCAAGAAAAAGUGUCCAAUACCUGCCAACGGUAAGACGUAUUUCCAGAGUAACCAAUGCCCUCAUGUGGGUUUUUUUUUUUCUUUUUUAACACUUCGAAGUUCCACA